AUCACCUGGGAUGUUAUUAAGAUGCAGAUUCUGAUUCAGUAAAUCUGAGGAAGACUAAGGUUCUGCAUUUCUAACAAGCUCCCAGGUGAUGCCAA
rnacentral:pre_miRNA from 1 species